rnacentral:misc_RNA from 1 species
CUCUCCCUUUCAAUUUUCAAUAUGGUUCUCGAGAAAAUGGAGAUGUUCUUAGAUAAUCUUCAGCCCAUGGAUCUGAUGCGCUCUGAGAAGAUGUCUUUUGUUCAGCUUAUUAUUCCCGCCGAGUCCGCUCACCGUGCCAUCUCCUAUCUCGGCGAACUCGGUCUUCUCCAAUUCCGCGACUUAAAUGCUGAUAAAAGCCCUUUUCAAAGGACAUUUGUUAAUCAGGUAAAGCGAUGUGGAGAGAUGUCAAGGAAACUACGAUUUUUCAAAGAUCAAAUUAAUAAAGCUGGUCUAUUAUCUUCUGCACAUCCUGUCAUAGAACCAGAUGUUGAGCUGGAGGAAUUAGAGAUACAACUUGGUGAACAUGAACAUGAGCUAAUUGAGAUGAACUCAAACAGUGAGAAACUUCAGCAAUCAUACAAUGAGCUCUUGGAGUUCAAAAUGGUGUUGCAAAAGGCAGUCGGCUUUCUUGUAUCAAGUAAUAGUCAUGCAGUUGCAGAG